rnacentral:snRNA from 1 species
GUGCUCGCUUCGGCAGCAUAUGUACUGAAAUUGGAACGAUACAGAGAAGAUUAGCAUGGCCCUUGCGCAAGAAUGACACGCAAAUUUGUAAAGCAUUCCAAUGAAUG